UCUUCAUGUACGAUCCCUUAAAUAUUAUAGAUAACAAUAAGGCUCCAUUCUCUUUUUCAAACCCAAGGCUAUCGCGAAUUUGUGCCCAGAUCUGAAGUCGAUUGUUCCCACAAUUUAACGAAACCAAUUUGAAAGACCCGACAAUUAAAAGGACAGAGAGUCUGAGCGAUUCACAAUGGGCUUCGUUUCCAUCUCCGGCGACAAGCAACGACAAAGGCACCAUGUUCGAUGUUUCAGGAUUCAAGAAAAUUCAAAGGUUGAGGAGAAUCCGAUCCAAUUUAUUGUCAUUAACUUAAGAAAUUAUGUGGAAAAGAGAGGAUUGCCUGCGGGAGUAAAUUAGGAAGUUGCCUUGUUCUUGAAACUGAUAGAGACGGUGCACUGGCAUGCUUCACAAGGUCAUGGAAUCUGCUGUCCCUGUUGACAACAAUUGGGUGAUGAAUGAGUUGUUUGGGACAGGGAUCUACUAAUUCAGGGAGCAGCUGAAAGGUUUUAAACUCAUGUACAGGGUAUCUUGACAUGUUUAGCUGCUUGCACUCCAUAGUCUAGGAUAAGGACCAAUAAGCUUGCGUUCAUUAGUGGAAAACUGCUUAAGCAGAAACUAUGACACAGUUGGAAGCUAUUGGAGUCAAGAGACUACAAGUUACUUUACCAUAACACGUGAUGAAAGUCAUUUUUCUCA